rnacentral:rRNA from 1 species
AGAGUUUGAUCCUGGCUCAGGAUGAACGCUGGCGGCGUGCCUAACACAUGCAAGUCGAGCGAUUCUCUUCGGAGAAGAGCGGCGGACGGGUGAGUAACGCGUGGGUAACCUGCCCUGUACACACGGAUAACAUACCGAAAGGUAUGCUAAUACGGGAUAAUGUACUUUUGUCGCAUGGCAAAAGUAUCAAAGCUCCGGCGGUACAGGAUGGACCCGCGUCUGAUUAGCUAGUUGGAGAGGUAAUGGCUCACCAAGGCAACGAUCAGUAGCCGACCUGAGAGGGUGAUCGGCCACAUUGGAACUGAGACACGGUCCAAACUCCUACGGGAGGCAGCAGUGGGGAAUAUUGCACAAUGGGCGAAAGCCUGAUGCAGCAACGCCGCGUGAGCGAUGAAGGCCUUCGGGUCGUAAAGCUCUGUCCUCAAGGAAGAUAAUGACUACUUGAGGAGGAAGCCCCGGCUAACUACGUGCCAGCAGCCGCGGUAAUACGUAGGGGGCUAGCGUUAUCCGGAAUUACUGGGCGCAAAGGGUGCGUAGGUGGUUUCUUAAGUCAGAGGUGAAAGGCUACGGCUCAACCGUAGUAAGCCUUUGAAACUGAGAAACUUGAGUGCAGGAGAGGAGAGUAGAAUUCCUAGUGUAGCGGUGAAAUGCGUAGAUAUUAGGAGGAAUACCAGUUGCGAAGGCGGCUCUCUGGACCGUAACUGACACUGAGGCACGAAAGCGUGGGGAGCAAACAGGAUUAGGUACCCUGGUAGUCCACGCCGUAAACGAUGAGUACUAGGUGUCGGGGGUUACCCCCCUCGGUGCCGCAGCUAACGCAUUAAGUACUCCGCCUGGGAAGUACGCUCGCAAGAGUGAAACUCAAAUGAAUUGACGG